rnacentral:rRNA from 1 species
UGCAGUCGAGCGGAUUGAGGGAGCUUGCUCCCUGAUAUUAGCGGCGGACGGGUGAGUAACACGUGGGCAACCUGCCCUGCAGAUGGGGAUAACUCCGGGAAACCGGGGCUAAUACCGAAUAAUCGGUUCUUCCGCAUGGAAGAACUCUGAAAGACGGUUUCGGCUGUCACUGCAGGAUGGGCCCGCGGCGCAUUAGCUAGUUGGUGGGGUAAUGGCCUACCAAGGCGACGAUGCGUAGCCGACCUGAGAGGGUGAUCGGCCACACUGGGACUGAGACACGGCCCAGACUCCUACGGGAGGCAGCAGUAGGGAAUCUUCCACAAUGGACGAAAGUCUGAUGGAGCAACGCCGCGUGAGCGAAGAAGGUUUUCGGAUCGUAAAGCUCUGUUGCGAGGGAAGAACAAGUACGGGAGUAACUGCCCGUACCUUGACGGUACCUCGUCAGAAAGCCACGGCUAACUACGUGCCAGCAGCCGCGGUAAUACGUAGGUGGCAAGCGUUGUCCGGAAUUAUUGGGCGUAAAGCGCGCGCAGGCGGUCCUUUAAGUCUGAUGUGAAAGCCCACGGCUCAACCGUGGAGGGUCAUUGGAAACUGGAGGACUUGAGUACAGAAGAGGAAAGCGGAAUUCCACGUGUAGCGGUGAAAUGCGUAGAGAUGUGGAGGAACACCAGUGGCGAAAGGCGGCUUUCUGGUCUGUAACUGACGCUGAGGCGCGAAAGC